rnacentral:rRNA from 1 species
UACGUAGGGCGCAAGCGUUGUCCGGAAUUAUUGGGCGUAAAGAGCUCGUAGGCGGCUUGUCACGUCGGGUGUGAAAGCCCGGGGCUUAACCCCGGGUCUGCAUUCGAUACGGGCUGGCUAGAGUGUGGUAGGGGAGAUCGGAAUUCCUGGUGUAGCGGUGAAAUGCGCAGAUAUCAGGAGGAACACCGGUGGCGAAGGCGGAUCUCUGGGCCAUUACUGACGCUGAGGGGCGAAAGCGUGGGGAGCGAACAGG